AGUUGGGGCAGCGGAGAUGCAACCCGCGCGCGAGCGAGCCGAGCUCGGGCGACAAAGAGUGGCCGCACGAGGGAGCUCAUGCGACAAGGAAGCUCCAUGAAGAAGCAAUUGAGGGGCCGCAGUUGCCAUACUACCACAACUCCGGCGCCUACUGGAUCUACGGCUGCAUCCUCAAGCAGUUCCGGGAGGAGAUUCUCAAGGAUGUCCGUUCUAUUCUGCAGAGGUACUUACACUCGCCGGCGAGUAAGAAGGCCUGAGUCCAAAUGUUGCCCUACUGCAAGCUGCAGCGUCCCCUGUCCCCAUCCUUCUAUGAUGAACUGACCGAGGCAAACACAAUACCAAUAUGCCGCGAUUAAUAGAAGCGGUUUCUUUCCAAACGCUAAAAAGUUCUUGGAGGCCAGGAAACAUGUUUGAGCCUCCAGUUUCUGGCCAUUCGAUGUGUGCGAUCAAAGUUGUUCUGUCUCUAUAGGCAUAGAUUUCCAAUGCAUCGAUGGUGCAAAUGUGCAAUGGGGGUUGUGCUUUGUUCUGAGAUCUAGAAACUAUUUUGGGGCAAGGGAGGAUUAAAAAAGUGACGUACAUGUCCAUGGUAAUCUGAUGGAGGAAGUUAAUUGGUGCGCUGCAAAAGGAGGCAAGAAAAAGCGACUUGGACUUUGGGCCAAGAGGACGAUGCUAGUUUUGGUACGAGGGAGAGGCGCGCUAGCAACCUGGUCAGGUGUUUCUUUUUCAAACUGGGUUGGUUGGGGGCGCAUGACUUUCUGUUUCUGGACCGGGGUGCAGGACUUUUAUUUCUAGGCGGGGGCUGGUUUGGUAACCAACCCUCGAGUGCUUGCUAGCCAUGUCUAGGUUUCUUUGUUGGCUACUGAUUUAUUAAAGUUGCCUUGUUAACAUGCUUAAGUAGGCUACUACAUAUAACUAAGUUGCUUUUUGCAAUAUAAUAUAUCUAGCUUUCUUUUUAUCAACAUUUAUUUAGUUG